GUGAAGUCAGUGUGCAAGUUUUUGUUGUGGAGCAGACCAAGGCAUGCUGGUGCACCUUCAGGUUUGCCAUAACUUGAGAUAACCAACAUCCAGGUGGGCUUUCAAGCCAUGAGGAGAAUGUACCUAGCCAUAAGCAAAUGUGGGACAGGUAAAUUCAGUCAUGGCAAGAAAUAAUUGGAGAAUCAAUAUUGAAGCUGGAAAAAUGAUGGCAUCUGAACAAGUAGACACAGCCCUAGUCAAGGCAAUAAAUUACACUAAAGACAGAGGAGAAAGACUCAAAGUUGUUCUAACAUCUUUUUGGAGAAGACAUGACUUCAGGAAUGAUUUCCCAGAAAUUUUGAAAGUCCUUAAAACUAAAGAAGAGAGUCCUGUGAUAUCCGCAAAGGCUCAUUUGCAGAAACUGGCCCAGCCCAAGUGUGCAGAAACAAAGAAAUGCUACAGCCAAUCAAAACCAUUUGGCGCACUGGCUCUUAUUUCAAAUCAGCAAAAUAAACAAACUGCAGUCCAAGUAGGAACUGGUUCUGCUGUCCUCUUCUUUCAAGCCAAGUUACAAUGUUUGAAUGUUUCAGAAGUUUCUUUCUAAUGGGUUUCCUUUUAUUGUCUGUGCCAGAUGGCCAAUGGAUCCUAGGCUAGUAAAUCAACAUGCUCACUUUAAACUCUGACUUCAUUUGUUUAGUACUUUCCUGGCAUCACUUGUGCAUAUUAUAGGAAGAAAGGUGUGGCUGUUGCAUUGUUCUAUAAUAAAUCCAGCUGUGUUUUACCCAUAUUUCUACUCUAAAC
rnacentral:lncRNA from 10 species